CUUUCAAGCAGACUCCUGCCGAGCAAGGAGCCCAGCACCAGGCUCAAUUCCAGGACCCAUGAGAGCAUGACCUGAGCUGAAACCAAGAGUCAGACGCUUAACUGACUGAGACAUCCAGGACGAAGACCCACCUUGAGCCCCCUGAGAAUGAAGGUUGGCGUUCACUAGCUCCCAGACUCCAGUUUAUAACAGUGUUCAUCCCCAGUCUCGCAUCUUCAUCAUCAUCAACCUUCUGACCUAAGAGUGUUGGGAGAAGAGCCUAGGAAGGAGGUCUUGAGAAUUCACAGGUUUACAAAUACAUCGACCUUCUCCUCCACCCCUCCUCCACGGACAGUGAAUGCUAGAGGCACAACAGAUCUCUUUUACUGGAACAGAGAGGACCGUGGUCCCAGUAUUUAUACAAGGCCACUCACUCCAGUGUGGAUUGCCCUCAGGUUCUCUGA